rnacentral:snRNA from 1 species
GGAUGUGAGGGCGAUCUGGCUGCGACAUCUAUCACCCCAUUGAUCGCCAGGGUUGAUUUGGCUGAUCUGGCUGGCUAGGCGGGUGUCCCCCUCCUCCCUCACUGAUCUAUGUGCCUCCCUCCCGAAGCUGCGCGCUCAGUCGAAGAGAUUGACCCCCCCGCCCCCCGCGAGUAGAGGAUCGGUCUUCGGUCAAGAGUAUACAAGUAGCUGCGCUCCCCUGCUAGAACCUCCAAAUAUGUUGAUAGCAGAUUAAGGAAAUACAUUUUUAAAAAUUCUUUAUUGUUU